GAGGAUUCAGUGGCCGAUCCAUAAACUUUAUUCGGUGGGGGAAAUUCAAUAGAAAAAUAAUGUUAAAAGAUUUAAUUACAAUUUUGGUCAUCUAUUUUGCCAUAUUUAUUAAAUAAAUUUUUAUUUUAAAUUUAAAUAAUUUUGGUUCUCCUCUCAUCUUUUUACAUUUAAAUUUGAUUAUGUAUUCAUUUUUAAAUCACUUGUGAAACAUGACAAAUCAUUAUAUUACCAAUAUUUG
rnacentral:lncRNA from 1 species